rnacentral:rRNA from 1 species
GACGGAGGGUGCAAGCGUUGUUCGGAUUGACUGGGCGUAAAGGGCGUGUAGGCGGUUGGUCAAGUCCGAUGUGAAAGCCCGGGGCUCAGCUUCGGAAGUGCAUCGGAAACUAGCCAGCUGGAGCGCGAUAGAGGAGGGCGGAAUUCCUGGUGUAGCGGUGAAAUGCGUAGAUAUCUGGAGGAACACCGGUGGCGAAGGCGGCGAUCUGGACGAUGACUGACGCUGAGACGCGAAAGCGUGGGGAGCAAACAGG